UGACAACACAGCCACACAAAUUUUCCUAUGUACACAUAAGACAUGGGGUUUAUUCUGUGGUGUGCCUCAAAUAAAUGAACCAGAUGCAGUAAGGGAGGAUGCUUUUGCUAAUUUUCAGAUUAUCUUCAUACAUGUAUGCUUCCUGUGCUAUUAUCAAUCAAAUUGAAGUUCUACAAAGAUUUUUCAGACAUUGCACAAGACCUAUCAUCAGGGAAGAAA
rnacentral:lncRNA from 1 species